rnacentral:lncRNA from 1 species
CUCAGAACUGCUUGGAGAAUAAACUCCUCCAACUAUGUUGCCAGAUAGGAACCUUUAUAGACUACCUUUUUCUUUCAUUGAUUCCGCGGUGGUGAACUUACCUGAGCUUUAGGUUACCUAGCUAGUAAUAUUUUGAUGAACAAUCUUAAUAUCUGGACGUUGUUGUUGGUAUGUUGUUUGUGCUGUAGUCUGACGCAAGUCCGUGUCCCCCUCCACAAACACACGUCGUCACCAUGACAACUUGGGUAAGGAAAAACAAAAAGUACUAUCUGGAGUUGUUGGGACGCUCCAACACCAUUGAAUUUGAAAUGUAGGUAAGGGUUAGGGGUUAAGGUUAGGGUUUUAGCAAAGAUGUUUAUUGUUAUAUCUGUGGUUUUAGGGUUGGGACCUUCCAAGGAUCACGGAUUGCAGGAUCCGUGUGAAAAGCCCAUGUGUAAUAACUUCAAAAUAAAAGUCCCCCACGAUAUGUCUCAUUUACUGAGACCCAGCAACUCAUUUUUGUCCCCACUAAUGGACAUUAGUUCUUGGUCCGUAUCAUUGACGUCAUACAUUUUACUUUCUCUUACUGGUUCUUCGAAUUAGCUGACAAUCACAAUUACCACAUUUUAUGGUUCCCCUCUGGAUAUUUUUUUUUAAUGUACAAAUAAACACUUAAUUAUGUGUCUUACAACCCAUCAUUAAAAUUGUAGUCUUGCAUUUGUUCAACAUAAAAAGGACACAACUUGAUGCACAACAUAUACCAGUAUAUGCACAAGCAUUUCACUACACUCGCAUUAACAUCUGCUAACCAUGUGUAUGUGACCAAUACAAUUUGAGAUAUAAGUCAAGACAACUACUGCUUUGGUUCAGUGAUAGUAUAGGCCUGCAACUGGGUUAGCAGAACAGCUUUUUAAAAUCUGAUGGUCCUUCAACAUGGAAUCAAUUUUAAAAAGAUAUGAAAUUGCAGAAACGUCUUCCAUUGAAUUAACGUAAAACAAAAAGGCAAGAAUGCAAUAUUGAAAUAGCCACUGGUUCUGGUGUUGGAGAGGCCACAAUGCAUUGAAAUAGUCCCUGGUUUUGUUCAAGGCGGAGGAGACCUAGAGCCGGUAGGCAGAGCGCUAGUGCACUGGAGGUCACAGAUGGUGAGCAGGUGGAUGAUGGGCACAGGGGGCCACUGAUGUUGACUUGCUUUUUUGUGUGUAGUACUCCCAAUGUCCAUGUGUUAUUCCACACACUGAGACAUUCAAUGGGGUGCCUUCCUCUUCCAGCUGCAUGUGCCAUGUCCAUGCUCUCCUACGGAGCUCUCUGUGGGGCGUGCCCGUCCCCGGUAAAACUUUGCUGUUGGUCCAGGGUUGGUUAUGCCAAAGUUUGGUAGUGCGGCUAUGAGUUCACUGUCUGUUUUCAUCUUCUUUAAGCUGGAAACGAAGGAUGCUACUGCAGGCCUGAAACUCACAGGAUCCUCCCUCAUCCUCUUUUUGAGGUCUUCAAAGAUGUCCAUCCACUCUUCCUCUAACGUCACCCCCUCAGCUAGUUUUCCAGAUGUACCUUGGAGAGCAUUACAACCAUAGUAUUACAACCACCAUUCAGAUUACCAAAUGAGUUAUAGGUAUACAGUCUUCAAUUGGAGCCCUUCACUUAAUAUCAGAUAUAUUGUUGUGACAUUGUAGAUUUACCUGAGCCGUUAACAUCAGAAACGGGAGCACGCUCAAUUUCAACGGUGUCCUCAGACGCAUUGCCACGGUCUAUUGUAGGAGGAGAGAACUACAACCAUCAGACAGCCAGAUUGUUAAGUCUUCUAUAUUGCCUGUCAGGGAUAAUGUUGCGAAAUUGUGAACAUUCUUCAUUGCAGUUAUCCAGAUGCUCGUUAGAAUCAUCAAUCUUCUUCUCCACAUACGAUGCAACACAUGCUUCCUUGAAAAGCUUGCGGUACAAUCUGUAAUGCACAAAUGAGGAACAUACCUAUAGCUAAUUAUUUCUGGUGAUAGCAUUUUAAAUACACUGAAUGAACCUGCAGUUCAAGUGUCAAGCUACUGACUUGUAGCAGAAUUGAAGGUCGGGGCAAAUGGAGCGAUCCACAGAGGCAUGCACAUCCACCUCAUAUUUGAUCGUUUUUAGAGCUGAUGAAGGAGAGUGGUCUAUUUCAAACAGCUUUGUCAAUUUCUCAAUGGUGUCCGCUGACAUCUCUCCUCUUCAGUCCCUCAGCACUUGUCAGACUGUGGUUGGGGUUGUUCUGUAGACAGACAUGAAAGAGGUAUCUGGGACCUACAAUAAAUGGAAUUAAAAUAAGAGAAUUUCAAGCUACUUUCUGAAAACAGGAACUUCAUAACUUUUAGGCCUACUUAAUAACUUUGUUUUGACUUGUUGUCUUAUGAUAGUGUGGGUACAUUUUUUGCAUUUAUAUUACUAAUCUUGAUUCUCUUGGUUGGGUAUGAGUGGACCUCUUCAAGAUGAGGUACUUUAUUGCACCAUAACAAUGUGUUGUUGGUACUUCUGGCUGAACUGGACCUUGUAUUAUGCUGGCAUCUUAGGUCCACCUGUAGAAAAUGUUAAUUUCAAUUCAUGUUUUUUUAACAUGGACCAAUUUACUCUUAUUAUGUUUCAUUGUAAC